UACGUAGGCAGCGAGCGUUGUUCGGAGUUACUGGGCGUAAAGGGGUGUGUAGGCGGUUUUCUAAGUUUGGUGUGAAAUCUCCCGCUUAACCGGGAGGGUGCGCCGAAAACUGGGAGACUAGAGUGCGGGAUGGGAGAGUAGAAUUCCUGGUGUAGCGGUGAAAUGCGUAGAGAUCCGGAAGAACACCGGUGGCGAAGGCGGCCUGCUGGGCAGUUUGGCUGACACUGAGGCGCGACAGCGUGGGGAGCAAACAGG
rnacentral:rRNA from 1 species